UACGUAGGGGGCAAGCGUUGUCCGGAUUUAUUGGGCGUAAAGAGCGUGUAGGCGGCUUUACAGGUCCGUUGUGAAAACUCGAGGCUCAACCUCGAGACGCCGGUGGAAACCGUAAAGCUAGAGUCCGGAAGAGGAGAGUGGAAUUCCUGGUGUAGCGGUGAAAUGCGCAGAUAUCAGGAGGAACACCGGUGGCGAAGGCGGGUCUCUGGGCCGAUACUGACGCUGAGGAGCGAAAGCAUGGGUAGCGAACAGG
rnacentral:rRNA from 1 species